rnacentral:rRNA from 1 species
ACAGGAUUAGAUACCCUGGUAGUCCACGCCGUAAACGAUGUCGACUUGGAGGCUGUUUCCUUGAGAAGUGGCUUCCGGAGCUAACGCGUUAAGUCGACCGCCUGGGGAGUACGGCCGCAAGGUUAAAACUCAAAUGAAUUGACGGGGGCCCGCACAAGCGGUGGAGCAUGUGGUUUAAUUCGAUGCAACGCGAAGAACCUUACCUACUCUUGACAUCCACGGAAUUUGGCAGAGAUGCCUUAGUGCCUUCGGGAACCGUGAGACAGGUGCUGCAUGGCUGUCGUCAGCUCGUGUUGUGAAAUGUUGGGUUAAGUCCCGCAACGAGCGCAACCCUUAUCCUUUGUUGCCAGCGAUUCGGUCGGGAACUCAAAGGAGACUGCCGGUGAUAAACCGGAGGAAGGUGGGGAUGACGUCAAGUCAUCAUGGCCCUUACGAGUAGGGCUACACACGUGCUACAAUGGCGCAUACAAAGAGAAGCGACCUCGCGAGAGCAAGCGGACCUCAUAAAGUGCGUCGUAGUCCGGAUCGGAGUCUGCAACUCGACUCCGUGAAGUCGGAAUCGCUAGUAAUCGUGGAUCAGAAUGCCACGGUGAAUACGUUCCCGGGCCUUGUACACACCGCCCGUCACACCAUGGGAGUGGGUUGCAAAAGAAGUAGGUAGCUUAACCUUCGGGAGGGCGCUUACCACUUUGUGAUUCAUGACUGGGGUGAAGUCGUAACCAAGGU